rnacentral:rRNA from 1 species
CGUCUAUAUACGUAUAGCAUAUCAAUAAGCGGAGGAAAAGAAACUAACUAGGAUUCCCUUAGUAACGGCGAGUGAAGCGGGAAGAGCUCAAAUUUGAAAUCUUCAAGGUUCUACCUUGACGAAUUGUAGUUUAAAGAAGUGUUUUCUGUUGGAGUUUUGGUAAAAGUUCUUUGGAAUAGGACAUCAUAGAGGGUGAGAAUCCCGUAUUUGACCAUUAUCUUCCAACUGUGUGAUACACUUUCAAAGAGUCGGAUUGUUUGGGAAUGCAGUCCAAAAUGGGUGGUAAAUUUCAUCUAAAGCUAAAUACUGGCGAGAGACCGAUAGCGAACAAGUACCGUGAGGGAAAGAUGAAAAGAACUUUGAAAGGAGAGUUAAACAGUACGUGAAAUUGUCAAAAGGGAAGCGUUUGACACCAGUGUUGUUUUCUCGAAAAUCAAUUAAAAAUGGUGGGAUGUUGUGUUGUAUUGACUUUAUCAGCUUUCUGCACUUUUUUUCCUAUCUUUUUUAAUGCACUUUUCGUUUAACAAGUCAACAUCAAUUUCUUUUGUUGUAAAAGAGUCAUUGGAAGGUGGCUUUCUUUUCGGAGAAAGUGUUUAUAGCCUUUGGCUUCUGCAAUCGGAGAGAUUGAGGUCUGCAGCGUAGAUCCUUCGGGGUUAGAUAGCAUUUGUGCUAAGUUAUAGCCUUUCAUAGACAACUUGUCGACUAUGAUCAGUCAUGUAGCUUACUCGCUUAUGUCAUUUUACCUACGCUUAGGAUGUUGAUAUGCAUGACUGAUAU